AUCCCCACAUUUUCCUGCCAUGGAUGAUUGUACUCUGCAUUCCAAGUGGUCGCAGAUAAAUCUAGUUGUAUUCUAGAAAUAGUGGCAAAACUCCAACAUUUCUCUAGUUCCAAACGAAUACUCAGAAACCCAGUGGUCCUUUGCGUACCUAUUUCCCAGUCCCAGCAGGCAUUAGACUCCUACCUGUAUGCUUAUGAUGCUACUAUGGAUUUUUCACAGUGCUUUCCCCAGGAGCGUGUCCAUUUCAUUGCCUGGAUGUGUUUUUGUUUCGACAGGAGAUACUGAGAUUGAACAUCCUUCUGUUGUCCUCACUUUGAGAGAUGAAACAGCUUUGAGAGCAUAUGUCUGAUCCCACAUCCACUGAGACACUUGAUGAUUAGCCGUUUCAUAAGAUCAACCCAGAUUUUAUUUACCAGAUUCAGGUAUCGACUAACUUCACUGAAGCUGAGCCUGAACAGUUGCCUGUACAUGAGCUAAAGCAUUUUUAAAUAUGAAAUGGAAUGCAAGAAGAAUACUUGCAGCUCCCAAGUACAGCUCAGUGUACAUGGGGGAAAAAUGUAUUAGGACUUGAGAUCCUAGCAGAGGCAGUUCCGCUCUCUGGGAGCAGAAAGAAGGGACGAGACAUGGAAGGGUUCGCGGUCAGGAGAGGGACUCAGCCUAAGACCCAGCGUCUGGCAGAAAGCCCAAGUUUCAGAUUUGUGAGAAACUGUCUGGGGGAGAGAAACAUCUUUACACUAGAUGUGAAACAGGAGGGCCUGAGGGAGGGUUGGAGAGGAGCCCAAGAAUGAGCACAGCCUGCUGCAGUCAUCGGCUCCAGCCGGGGCCUCCCUUCUUCCACUCACGUGAAGCUAUUUCUAUUGUCAUUAAGCCUUAAAAAGCUGUUUGUGUGUCUGGAUGUGCACGUGUGUGUGUGCGCAUGUGUUUGCAGAAGUGACAUGUUUAACUUCAGAUCUGACAACGUGCCUUUGGCAGAUUCAAUGUAAAAAUUAACUUGCUCUCUGCCUCUUUUCCUUCUUUUUUUUUAAGAAUAAAACAAAACCAGAUUGAGCUUUUACACUUAAAGCCCUAAGAAAAUCAUAAAAGUGAAUUAUGGGGUGAGAAAUACUCUUUAAAGGAAAGCUUUACACUGGAGUAAACUUGGAACAUUUAUACAUUAAAUAUUACAUAUAACAUUUAUGUGUAUAAAAUCUGCUGAACUGGCCAGUUUCUGACUAUUACAUAAACUUUAUGCAUUCGAGAAAG